CUGAAGAGGAGACUUAUCUAAACAGGAUUAGCCGAGCCUGUAUGUGACUGAGGGAGUGUGAAAUGCUAGAAGGGUACCGCUGAUCACCUUUUCCAGCCCGAUUCUCCAGCAUUCACAAAAGAGGAUCUUCAGCUGUGUUCUAUGGACCCGGAGAGCCUGGCUUGUGGGCACCUCGUGCCUGGGAGGGGCCGGGAGCCUCCUCAUUAGCACCACGGUCAGCUCACGAGCCUGGAGCGGGUGGAGGGAGAGCUCGCAGCGCCAGCGCUGGAAGGAGGAAGCGCAAGAGCGAACAGGCGGGGGAGGAAAAGGAGAGGAAAGGAAGGAGGCCAGCGGCUCCUGGGCUAGUGCAAGGGAUCUGGAAGCAGUCAGAGCAGCAGGUCAGAGUGGGAACUGUUCACUUGCGCUGGGCAGACUCUAGCAGCUCGCCAGUCACUCUGGGCGGAUGCUGCUGGCGGAGACCGGAUGCCAGUGUUUAA
rnacentral:lncRNA from 1 species